rnacentral:rRNA from 1 species
ACCGGCAGCUCAAGUGGUGGCCAUUUUUAUUGGGCCUAAAGCGUUCGUAGCCGGUUUGAUAAGUCUCUGGUGAAAUCCCGCAGCUUAACUGUGGGACUUGCUGGAGAUACUAUUAGACUUGAGGUCGGGAGAGGUUAGGGGUACUCCCAGGGUAGGGGUGAAAUCCUAUAAUCCUGGGAGGACCACCUGGGGCGAAGGCGGCUAACCGGAACGAACCUGGCGGGGGGUAACGGAAGCCCGGGGCGCGAACCG